GGCAGUGCUGGCUUGACGGUUCAGGCUUUGGGUUACUGAUCAGAAGGUCGGGGGUUCAAGCCCCAGCACUGCCA